UUGUGUGGCCAGGGACCAGGUUCAUGGGAUUGAGAUGUAGUUGCAGCAGAGUUCCGGUGGUUUCCUGAUCCCAAAUUCCUGCUCUCUGGUUCACAGCUACAGUGAGUGUGAUUGAACCCCAGUGUUCCAGGGCCAGUCUCUCCAUUCCUCACCUUCCUGAUUUUGUCAGAACGAAUAGCUCCCUGGUGGGUAAGUUCUGCCCUUUUCUGGGAAUCAUUUCAGGAGACUUAGCACAGAGUGCACGCCUCCAUCCUUUCCAAUGACUUUGUAAGUACCUGAUUCCCUAUAAUCAAUUUCUUUUUGUGUAUAGAAUACCUAGAGUUGUUUCUGUUUCCUGUAGUGUGCCCUGACAGAGUUUUUAUAUCAGAACUGUUUGCAGACAGCAUAUCCUCAAGAAAGGCAAUUUUGGAUUGGUUAUCUGGCUUUGUUAAAUUUAAAGGCAAGGAAGAGGAGAGUACGACUGAAGAAUGAGUGUUGGUGGUCCAAAGAAGACAGGGACUUGAGAGCCACAGAACACGUCUCAUUUAUCUUCCUCUCUCCAGUACUAAUUUAGUGGUCAAUAGAACGGAUGUUCAUUGGGUGAGUGAAAUUUACUUCUUCUCUUUCAAGCCUAAAUAUUUCAAACAACUAUCCAUACACAUGCUUUAUUAUAUUGAUAAUGUGUAUUUGAAUAGCAUCUUUAAAUUUAUGAAAUGCUUUCAUGCUUAUUAUCCUGUUUGAUCUAAAUAACUCUUUAAGAGAACAUUAACAGGUUUUGAUAUUCCUACUUUUAAUAACAAGAAAGUUGAAGUUCAGAGAGAUUUAUUGAAGGUCAAACAGCUAGUGAUGGAACUGUAACUCUGGGCAUAAUUUUUCCAACAGACCACACUGUCUACUCACAGGAGUGGGGACCCAGGCUCCU
rnacentral:lncRNA from 1 species